rnacentral:snRNA from 1 species
AUCGCUCCUCAGCCUUUUGGCAAAGAUCGAGUGUAGUAUCUGUUCUUAUCAGUUUAAUAACUGAUACAUCUUCUAUCCGAGGACAAUAUAUUAAAUGGAUUUUUGGAGCUAGGAGUUGGAAUAGGAGCUUGCUCCAUCGACCUGGUACUGCAGUACUUCCAGGAAUGGUGCACCUGGU